UCUGCUCACUGGUUUCUCCCCACGCCAGCAGCAGCAAGCAGCCAUGGCACCUCAUUCCCCUGCUCGCCCUCCCUCUGUGCCCAGCCUCCUCUCUGUUCUUCCGUGGAGCAAUAGCCCUCCUCUAAUUCUGCAGCAGCAGCUCCCCCUUUUUUCAUUUGUUCUCCAUGAAUGAAAGCCCAAGCGCCAGCCCCCUCCCUUUCGUCAAGUGGUGAGCUCCGAAUCUUUUUAUUCUUUCCCUAGACCUUGCGUGUUAUAUUUUGAUUUCAGUUUGUUGUCCAUGUCAUGACGCUUGUGAAACUCUAUGUGUUUGUGUGUGAGAUUGGAAGAGAGUUCUAGGGAAAUCGAUGGAGAAGAAACCGUGUUUCAGUUCGACGCGCUCUAGGUGUUUGAUGGAAUGGAUGAACCGGAGAUCCUUGUUGCUCUUGCGAAAUCCGAGUCUAUUUAGUGUUGGUAAGC
rnacentral:lncRNA from 1 species